rnacentral:rRNA from 1 species
GAUCGUCGUCCAUACUGAUCGGCAGACGGGAGAGUACACGUGGGAACGUGCCCUUUGGUUCGGAACAACCCAGUUAACUUGGGCUAAUACCGGAUAAUCCCUUACGGGGAAAGAUUAUCGCCGAAGGAUCGGCCCGCGUCUGAUAAGCUAGUUGGUGGGGUAAUGGCCCACCAAGGCGAUGAUCAGUAUCUGGUCUGAGAGGAUGAUCAUCCUCUCUGGGACUGAGACUCUGCCCAUACUCCUACGGGAGGCAUCAGUGGGGAAUAUUGGACAAUGGGCGCAAGCCUGAUCCAGCCAUGCCGCGUGGGUGAUGAAGGCCCUAGGGUUGUAAAGCCCUUUCGGCGGGGAAGAUGAUGACUGUACCCGCAGAAGAAGCCCCGGCUAACUUCGUGCCAGCAGCCGCGGUAAU